CCUGGCUCAGAACGAACGCUGGCGGCAGGCUUAACACAUGCAAGUCGAGCGCUGUAGCAAUACAGAGCGGCAGACGGGUGAGUAACGCGUGGGAAUCUACCCAUCCCUACGGAACAACUCCGGGAAACUGGAGCUAAUACCGUAUACGCCCUUCGGGGGAAAGAUUUAUCGGGGAUGGAUGAGCCCGCGUUGGAUUAGCUAGUUGGUGGGGUAAAGGCCUACCAAGGCGACGAUCCAUAGCUGGUCUGAGAGGAUGAUCAGCCACAUUGGGACUGAGACACGGCCCAAACUCCUACGGGAGGCAGCAGUGGGGAAUAUUGGACAAUGGGCGCAAGCCUGAUCCAGCCAUGCCGCGUGAGUGAUGAAGGUCUUAGGAUUGUAAAGCUCUUUCACCGGAGAAGAUAAU
rnacentral:rRNA from 1 species